CGCACGGCAGCGCGGGAGCAAUCCUGGCGGCGAGUGGCGAACGGGUGAGUAAUACAUCGGAACGUGUCCUGUAGUGGGGGAUAGCCCGGCGAAAGCCGGAUUAAUACCGCAUACGCUCUACGGAGGAAAGGGGGGGAUCUUAGGACCUCUCGCUACAGGGGCGGCCGAUGGCGGAUUAGCUAGUUGGUGGGGUAAAGGCCUACCAAGGCGACGAUCCGUAGCUGGUCUGAGAGGACGACCAGCCACACUGGGACUGAGACACGGCCCAGACUCCUACGGGAGGCAGCAGUGGGGAAUUUUGGACAAUGGGGGCAACCCUGAUCCAGCAAUGCCGCGUGUGUGAAGAAGGCCUUCGGGUUGUAAAGCACUUUUGUCCGGAAAGAAAUCAUCCUGGUUAAUACCUGGGGUGGAUGACGGUACCGGAAGAAUAAGCACCGGCUAACUACGUGC
rnacentral:rRNA from 2 species